GAUUCAGAAUCCAUUUCUAGAGGAGGUAAUAAUGAGGCUAUUGAAAGGAGCGACGAGGACUGUCCUUCUCUCCCAACCUCCCCCCGUCGGUCCCUGUUCUGAAAUUCCCAUUCAGU
rfam:Tursiops truncatus cont1.149943, whole genome shotgun sequence.